rnacentral:rRNA from 1 species
AGUGAACGCUGGCGGUAGGCCUAACACAUGCAAGUCGAACGGCAGCACAGUAAGAGCUUGCUCUUACGGGUGGCGAGUGGCGGACGGGUGAGGAAUACAUCGGAAUCUACUUUUUCGUGGGGGAUAACGUAGGGAAACUUACGCUAAUACCGCAUACGACCUACGGGUGAAAGCAGGGGAUCUUCGGACCUUGCGCGAUUGAAUGAGCCGAUGUCGGAUUAGCUAGUUGGCGGGGCAAAGGCCCACCAAGGCGACGAUCCGUAGCUGGUCUGAGAGGAUGAUCAGCCACACUGGAACUGAGACACGGUCCAGACUCCUACGGGAGGCAGCAGUGGGGAAUAUUGGACAAUGGGCGCAAGCCUGAUCCAGCCAUACCACGUGGGUGAAGAAGGCCUUCGGGUUGUAAAGCCCUUUUGUUGGGAAAGAAAAGCAGCAGGUUAAUACCCCGCUGUUCUGACGGUACCCAAAGAAUAAGCACCGGCUAACUUCGUG